GUGAUUUGAGAAAAGUCCAUGACUAAGGUACCUCGUGUUAGGUUGACAAAUUAAUACAUUCAGUACGUUAAGUGGGCCAGGUACGCAUUAUGUACUCAUAUGUGAGUUUGAUCUGCAAUGAAUCAUAAGCGUGCAUUGUGAUACAUACGUGAAUAAAUGUUAUAACUAUAUCUAUGAUCAUGAUACAUCGGGUCAGGAUGUGAAAGUAUGUGAAAGUUUUCGAUUUAAUUAUGUUAUACGAAUUCAGAUUAAGUGUGAUAAGAAUGCUGAACGUGCAUUAUGUGUUUGUGUAUUCGGCCAGAUGGCAAUAUACCUAGAAUAUGGCCACUUAAGAAAUUGAAUAAUCGAAGUAUAAUUGCG
rnacentral:lncRNA from 1 species